rnacentral:rRNA from 1 species
UAGGGAAUCUUCCGCAAUGGGCGAAAGCCUGACGGAGCAACGCCGCGUGAGUGAUGAAGGUCUUCGGAUCGUAAAACUCUGUUAUUAGGGAAGAACAAAUGUGUAAGUAACUAUGCACGUCUUGACGGUACCUAAUCAGAAAGCCACGGCUAACUACGUGCCAGCAGCCGCGGUAAUACGUAGGUGGCAAGCGUUAUCCGGAAUUAUUGGGCGUAAAGCGCGCGUAGGCGGUUUUUUAAGUCUGAUGUGAAAGCCCACGGCUCAACCGUGGAGGGUCAUUGGAUACUGGAAAACUUGAGUGCAGAAGAGGAAAGUGGAAUUCCAUGUGUAGCGGUGAAAUGCGCAGAGAUAUGGAGGAACACCAGUGGCGAAGGCGACUUUCUGGUCUGUAACUGACGCUGAUGUGCGAAAGCGUGGGGAUCAAACAGG